CAAUAGCGUAUAUUAAAGUUGUUGCAGUUAAAAAGCUCGUAGUUGGAUUUCUGGCAGGAGCGACCGGUCACGCACUCUGUGUGUGAACUUGUGUUGUCUCUGGCCAUCCUUGGGGAGAUCCUGUUUGGCAUUAAGUUGUCGGGCAGGGGAUACCCAUCGUUUACUGUGAAAAAAUUUAGAGUGUUUAAAGCAGGCUUAUGCCGUUGAAUAUAUUAGCAUGGAAUAAUAAGAUAGGGACUUUCGGGAACUAUUUUGUUGGUUUGCGUUACGAAGUAAUGAUUAAUAGGGACAGUUGGGGGUAUUCGUAUUUCGUUGUCAGAGGUGAAAUUCUUGGAUUUCCGAAAGACGAACUACUGCGAAAGCAUUUACCAAGGAUGUUUUUCAUUAAUCA
rnacentral:rRNA from 1 species